UUGGACACAGGGGCUUGGAGCAAGAUGCUCCAGUGGAAGGGGUCCCUGCCUGUGGCAGGGGUUGGAACUGGAUGAGCUUUAAGGUCCCUUCCAACACAAACCAUUCCAGGGUUCUAUGAUAAAUGUUAAUGCUUUUCAUUGAAAAAAAAACCUUUAAAAAGAGGCUUCAUGGUAGUUCACAAAGGCUGGGAUCUUCAUGACUACAGUUGUGUGACUCUUGGUUUCAGCAGAAUAAAUGCAGUAAUAGCAAUA